rnacentral:rRNA from 1 species
GACGAACGCUGGCGGCGUGCUUAACACAUGCAAGUCGAACGGAAAGGCCCUGCUUUUGUGGGGUGCUCGAGUGGCGAACGGGUGAGUAACACGUGAGUAACCUGCCCUUGACUUUGGGAUAACUUCAGGAAACUGGGGCUAAUACCGGAUAGGAGCUCCUGCUGCAUGGUGGGGGUUGGAAAGUUUCGGCGGUUGGGGAUGGACUCGCGGCUUAUCAGCUUGUUGGUGGGGUAGUGGCUUACCAAGGCUUUGACGGGUAGCCGGCCUGAGAGGGUGACCGGCCACAUUGGGACUGAGAUAAGGCCGAGACUCCUAAGGGAGGCAGAAGUGGGGAAUAUUGCACAAUGGGCGGAAGCCGGAUGCAGAAACGCCGCGUGCGGGAUGACGGCCUUAGGGUUGUAAACCGCUUUCGCCUGUGACGAAGCGUGAGUGAAGGUAAUGGGUAAAGAAGCACCGGCUAACUAAGUG